rnacentral:misc_RNA from 1 species
GAAGAAGCGGCUCGGCUGCAGGCAAGCAAACGACAACGACAGAGACGUGAGGAGAGCAAGCGGCUUUUGAGCGCGUAGGGUGCUCAUCACACGCGUGUCGAUUGUGUGCGUUGGUUGCCGUUGCUUGGCCACUGCUUUCUCUCUGCCUUGUGUGUGCAUGUGGCUGCGAGAAAUCUGAGUACCCGCGAGGCCAGCGCUGCUGAGAACCAGAUAGGGGGUGGACGGGGGAUAGUCACUCCGGUAUCGUGAGUGGUGUCAUCUCCGUGCCGUGCUGGCACUCGCCUACGCUGACUGUCGUUUCAUUUUUUCCGCUUUUCGUGUUGUUCGCGUCGUUCUCUGGUCGCACCUCUACGCAUGUCGCUCGCCGCUUUCACGCAGUAUUCUCUCGCGGCGGUGGUGCGCAACCUCCGCAGCGCCCCGGGAGGAACAGAGGAGGAGGCUGUGGACAGGUACAUCGCGGACACGAAGAAUGAGGUGAACGCCGCCGAUCCGCGCGUCAAAAUGGUGGCGAUUCAGAAGGCGACUUAUUUUCACAUGCUUGGGUAUAGCUCGCAGUACGCCGACUUUCGCGUCGUGGAGAUGAUGGCGAGCCCCAUUUUUCUGCACAAGCGCAUUGCUUACCUGGCUGCCUGCCUCACCUUUACCGAGGACACUGACGUCAUUCCUCUCAUGACGGCGUCGCUGAAGCGCGAUUUGAGCAGUAGCAACCAAUUUGAGGUCGGCCUUGCCUUGUAUUGCAUUGCAUCAAUCUGCACCCCUGACAUGGCGCAAGACGUCGUGGCGGACGUCGUCAACCUGCUGGGUCACCCUCGUGCAUACGUGCGCAAGAAGGCGACGCUCAGCCUCUACCGCGUCUUUCUAAGCUACCCUGAGUCGCUGCGCGUGACAUACGGCCGACUGAAGGAGAAGCUCGAAGACAACAAUGAAAAGGCGGACACCGACCCCGCCGUACGCGGCGCCGUCGUGUGCGUGCUGUGCGAGUUAGCGCGGCGCAACCCAGCCAAUUUUUUAGGCUUGGCCGUCCCUUUCUACUCCCUUCUGUCCUCCGUGCACAGCAACUGGACACUGAUCAAGAUUGUGAAGGUGUUCGGCUACUUCGCGCCGCUCGAGCCGCGGCUGGGGAAGAAGCUUGUGGAGCCCAUCACAAACCUGAUCAACACCAGCGGCGCCAAGUCAGUGCAGUAUGAGUGCCUCCUGGCCGUUGCGAACGGAAUGAGCCAAGUGUCGUCGCUGAAAAAGUUGGCUGCGGAGAAGAUUCGUGGUUUUGUCGAGGACGCCGAUCCGAACUUGAAGUUCCUUGGGCUGGAGGCACUCUCCCUGCUGGUCGCCUCCUCUGAAAACCGAAAGCUGCUCGCGGAUCAGAGGGAGGUGGUUCUGAGGUGCUUGGACGACCCAGACAGCACCAUCCGACUCAAGGCUUUGCACCUUUUGCGAGACCUGACCACGCGCAAGACGGUGAUCUCGCACAUCAAUGAGAUGCUUGACCGCUGCGUGCGCACGCCACCUGACGAGGAGUGGUCGAAUGCCGUCAUUCGAACGAUCAUCGAAACCGCGCAGACGGACGACUACGAGUGGAUCCAGGACUUUGAGUGGUACCUUAGUGUGCUGCUCGACCUGUGCGUGGUGGAGCUGACGGUGUACACCCACGGCGGCUUCAUGGAGCAGGAGCUGGUCUGCAUUUUGUCGCGCGUGAACGGUGUGCGGCGGGCCGGUGUGGAGGAGAUUGUUCCGCUGCUGACAAAUGUGCGCUUGCUCGGCUGCGACCGGCAGCACUCCACGCAGUGGCGCAUCCUCUGCGCCGCCGCCUUCAUCUGCGGCGAGUAUCCGCAUUGGGUCCCCGACAUUGCGGAGGCGUGCCGGGCUCUUCUCGACGAGCCCAUCACACUGCUGCCCGCGGAGGCGCAGCUGGCUUGUGUGGCGGCGGUGGGCAAAAUCGCCGCGUAUGUGUAUCAGCCGUGUGCUCGUCAUGUUCAGCUUUGCAACGGUGAAGAGGAGUGCCGCGCCGCGGAAGAGGAAGAGCAGCGGAUAGUCCCGUCUCUGGCGGAGCUCAUACGCACAGUGCUGCUGCCGGAAGCCGAUGAGGCGAGCGGGGCGCACGACAACACCGCCGCUGACGACGCCAGAGGCGCCGCUGCGCGAGCUCAUCGCGGCCUACGACGCUUCUGUCAUAGCGCUUUCCCAAGUGUGCUGGAGCGCGCGCAUCUGGUCCAGUAUCAGGUGAUGGAGCAUCCCGAGGUAGGACCAAAGCUGUACGAGGCGGUCCUCCCCCCCGUGGCUGCCGGGGCGCAGGAUGCGAUCGAGCUGCCAGAGGACGUGGAUCUGGAGGCCCCCUUCUGCGAGAACGUGGCGAUGCUCAUGGCGUUGAGCGGCAGUGACGAGGAUGAUGGCAGCGACGGUGGUGCGCUGGGUGGCUACGGUGGUCUUGGCGAUAGUGGGGAUGAUGAUUUGGAUGCUAAUUUCAACUUGGAAUACCGUAUCGAACAACAGCGCCGCUCAGAGCAGGCGCGGCGGGAGGAGAUGGCCCCUUACUACCUGCGUGACUCGGCAGAUGCGGGCGUGGUCGUAUCCGAGGACUUUGGCGCCCCUUCGCGGCCGCUCCGCUCUGCGCAGCAGAUUGGCUGCGAUGACGGCCUUGUCUCCCAUGCUGGCGCGGUGUCUCAACACCGCCAACACACGCGCACCCGUCGUCCGCAGAAGGUCUUCAGCAUCAACCGCCAACUGUCAAAGCCGGCAGACUACGAGGAAAAGAAGGCGGCGCGAUGGCACCGAUCAAAGUCACCCGAGGAGGACGAGGCGACGCGCAAGCUGCGCGGUAUCGACGUUACUCGCGCCCUGCGCGCCGAUGAACGCCUGCCAGAGACACUGUCCUACGCCCAGCUCCUUCAGCAGCAGCAGCACAAAGGCAAGGGCAGCGACGAGUUAUACGCGGAUGCGAUGGUGGCGUCUCACGCCGCUGAGGCGGUCCAAGUCACCCUGUACAACGAGCGUCCGCUGGGGUUGUACCUGACGGUGACAGGUUGCAAGGUGCGCAGGGACGGCUUCCAUCUCAGCGGCGCGGUGGAGUGUGUGAACGCCACAAGCAGCAGCGUUGUUCGCGACGUGCGCCUGACGGCCACGCCGACGGCAGCAUUUGCCAUGGGAGACGUUACGCUGCGCCUCGAGGCGGUGAAGUCGGAUAUGGCGGAGGACGCGAGUGGCGGCACUUCCGUGACAGUGGCCGAGAGGCUGAAGGGGUCGGCGACGGUGCGGGUGCCGAUUGUUGCACGGCUGAGUCACCUGCCCUCCUCUUUUGCGGAGGCGCCGUUGUCGCUGAACCUCAGCUGGACUGCAGAGCGCAAGCAUCACCAGGUAGCACUCACACUACCGCUAGAGUACGUCUACUUCGCGAAGCCUGUGCUGCCGGGCUCCGUGCUCACGUCUCACGAGUAUCUCGAGGAUGUUGUCGGCAAGGCCCUCGCUGCAGCCCCUAUCGCCACGGCCUUUGUGCCGUGCAGCAAGGCAGCGAUUAUGACUGGAGUUAUGGCUGCCAUGCCACAGCUGCGCCUGGCCCCGAUUGAUGUAUUCAAGGAUGCGCUAUCCAUGUACGGCCUCCUGCACGGCCGCAAGUCGGAGCUGGCACACACGCAUGUGGCGGUGCUUCUGCAGGAGCAGGAAGUGGAUGGCUCCAAAGGGAUUCUGGUGACGGUGCGAUGCCACUAUCCUGUACUGAGCGAGGCUCUCAUUGUGAAGCUGGCGGAGCUGGUGGGUGCACACUAGCAAUCUCUGGCGUCAGGGCCAAAGCAGCGGGGGAGGGGCUUGAAAGAAAAGCGGGCCAUGAAGUUUCUGGUGUUGCUCUGUGCGCACUCGACGGUGCGGCUGGCCUGGCGGUCGACCCGUGUAACGAUGAAUAAUGGCCUCUCCGUCUCUCUUUGUGCGUGUGCGCGCAAAACGUACGUGCGUGGCGCUCGCUGUUCUACUCAGUGCCCAUGGUUUGCAUCUCUGACUCUCUUGCACACGUGAUGAUUCUUUGCGGUGCUAGAGUCUCCCCACCCCGUCGCCCCACGCACAUACACACGGGGACCUAUCCAGCUACAACUCCCUCAUCCCCCACUAGCUUCGCUGCAACG